AAAAAAAAAAAAAAAAACAAAAAAAGAAAAAAAAAAAAAUGAUGAGAGCCAUGUUUGUAAUGGGAGGUUAAUCGCUAGACCCAGAGCGAUUUAUCAAGCAGAAGGCUUUAGAAUUUGAAUCCGCUGCCUUGGUCCGCUACUCACUUGAUGAUUUACUGCUUAAUUCCCAUGAAGAAGAAUGUCUCAUCUCUUUCAUAAUUUGUUGAACCUGGAUAAACCCUAAUACUCUGCUGUUUCAUGGUACCUUCAAUUCGCGGAAAUUCGACAGUUGUUCGGGUCUAUGAAUUUCCGGCCAGACAGACCGGCUACCGAAAAAGUCUUGGAAUUGGAUCGAGAAUUUGGCUACCUCACCGUUGUCAGACGCCCCGAGCGCGUUCCCGAGAUCGGAAUCGGCAUAGGUGAGCCGGGACAAUCUUCUUCCUCCGC
rnacentral:misc_RNA from 1 species